CCCUAUAUAGGCACAUAACUCCUCCCAUAUUAAGCUCCACCCACACAUUCUCUUGACCAAUCAUUACAAAUAAGAAUUAACUUCCUGCUUGACCGCAUGGCUUGUCCAGCACAAUGGAGGAGGGGAAUACUACAUCCUGUAUUCUUGCACAUGCUCCGUACACUACUGAUCGUAUCUUGCCUCGUGCAACCAACUGAUUGAUACGUCAGCAUAUGCACGUACACAUGCCACGUGGUAAUCUCGGCCUACUAAAUUUAUUUUUACCGAGAUUCC
rnacentral:lncRNA from 1 species